rnacentral:rRNA from 1 species
UGAAGAACUUUACGGGUCGCCGUCUGGAAUCUCAGUUCUAGUGCCAGGGUUAAAUCCCAGUUUUUUGUAAAAUAAUUUUCGUCUUCGUCCCUUUGGGCCUCCAGCCUGUAAUAUAAGAGUU